GGUAAUACGUAGGGGGCAAGCGUUGUCCGGAAUCACUGGGCGUAAAGCGCGCGCAGGCGGCCAUUUGCGUCCGGGGUGAAAGCCCGGGGCUCAACCCCGGAACUGCCUUUAAGACUGCAUCGCUUGAAUCCAGGAGAGGUGAGUGGAAUUCCGAGUGUAGAGGUGAAAUUCGUAGAUAUUCGGAAGAACACCAGUGGCGAAGGCGGCUCACUGGCCUGGUAUUGACGCUGAGGUGCGAAAGCGUGGGGAGCAAACAG
rnacentral:rRNA from 1 species